UAAGGAAUAUUGGUCAAUGGAGGCAACUCUGAACCAGCCAUGCCGCGUGCAGGAAGACAGCCCUCUGGGUCGUAAACUGCUUUUAUUCGGGAAUAAACCUACUUACGUGUAAGUAGCUGAAUGUACCGAAGGAAUAAGGAUCGGCUAACUCCGUGCCAGCAGCCGCGGUAAUACGGAGGAUCCAAGCGUUAUCCGGAUUUAUUGGGUUUAAAGGGUGCGUAGGCGGCUUAUUAAGUCAGGGGUGAAAGACGGUGGCUCAACCAUCGCAGUGCCCUUGAUACUGAUGAGCUUGAAUACACUAGAGGUAGGCGGAAUGUGACAAGUAGCGGUGAAAUGCAUAGAUAUGUCACAGAACACCGAUUGCGAAGGCAGCUUACUAUGGUGUCAUUGACGCUGAGGC
rnacentral:rRNA from 1 species